rnacentral:rRNA from 1 species
UACGUAGGGGCCUAGCGUUGUCCGGAAUUAAUGGGCGUAAAGAGCUCGUAGGCGGUGUGUCACGUCGGCCGUGAAAACCUGCAGCUUAACUGUGGGCGUGCGGUCGAUACGGGCAUCACUGGAGUUCGGCAGGGGAGACUGGAAUUCCUGGUGUAGCGGUGAAAUGCGCAGAUAUCAGGAGGAACACCGGUGGCGAAGGCGGGUCUCUGGGCCGAUACUGACGCUGAGGAGCGAAAGCGUGGGGAGCAAACAGG